CAAUGGCAGUGUCCCAGCAGCAACAGGCCCUACGGUGAGGAAUUGCGUAACUUCUUUGCCUAUCCAUAUAACUUAACGAGCAAACUGUCACAGGUGCUUCACUACACCGAUGCUGCAGUAGCAAGCACUUCUGCAGCUGCACACCAGCAGGAAACUGAGGCUACCGCAGCAGCAGUGCCAGACGUAUCAGGCACACAGCGUGGUAGAAUAGGGCCAUGCCGAAGGAGGAGGCGGCGAGUCCCCGCACCAAUAGCAAAUCGCAUUCUGGAGGUGCAGGAGCGGAUUGCUGCUGAAAUAACGCAGCUCCGGGAGAUCAUCACUCCAAUGGCUCAAGCCGUGACAGAGUACUUCAGGUACAAGAUUGAAAAUGAAAGGAACGCCAACAAUAAUAUCUAAGGAGAACGAACAGGAGUCAAGAGCCACGGUUCAAGAGGGUACCCCAGAUCUCCUGCACAGAAGAGAGGAAGCUAUAGUUACUGAAAUUGUUUGAUGGAUGUUAAACUUGUGAGCUCAUGACAUCAGUAGACAAACUGUUCUGAAAAAUAUUUAAUAUUUAUGUAGUUUCUAUAAAAUAAACCUGACCUGCACCUUCCCAUGGAAGGUGUGCCUAUUUACUC